rfam:Citrus sinensis cultivar Ridge Pineapple sweet orange scaffold00175_contig_33, whole genome shotgun sequence.
AAAGCAGGGAUUUGUGUGUAUCGGCGUUGCGCGAUAAAUGCGCAUUGUAUCCGAAAGAGUUCCCUGCUAUAUCAUAUUUUGGGCGGAUGGGCAGUUGUGCUUCAAUCUCUACCGUUGAUUUUCUCAACAAUCAUCCUCCCCACACCU